CUUUUCUUUAGAAAAUAUACAUAAAGCUUGAUUAAUCCAUUUUUAAAUAUGUUUCACAGUAGAAAUAGAAUUGUGCUAGUUGAGCCACUGAGGCAGACAAAAGAUCGGUAUUUGGCCAGAUGUCACAGAGAAGAGAUGAUUCUGUGUUCAAAGAACAAGGUCACCAAAUUGCUCUUCCUUGCUUUUGUUCACUCUAAAAAUUUCGCACUAAUAGAACAUGUGGUUGAUGUACCUUGGGAUCAAAAUUCUUGCAUUUCUCGGCAUCACAUAUGCAUAAAAAAUACAUUUUGCCCAAAGAUAGUUUGUUCAUAUAAGGCUGAAGUGUCAAAUAAGUGGUGCAGAAAUUAUAGGAUUAUAUUAUAAUAUUUUAUCAUGGGGUAAUCAAAGAAGACAGAUAUUAAUCCUUCAAGUGCUUUGUGGAAGCUAUUUAGCUUUUCUUUCUUUCUUUUUUUAAUUGUAAGGAUUCCAAUUCCACUAUGAGGCAAAAUUUGAAGGGCGAUGCUUUACUUUCUUUCAUAAUAGUUGUUUGAAAGUUCUAAUUUUAAUCUCAUUGAGUUUUAUAUUUUGAGGCAAUAUAUAUAAAUCUUUUGAGGCUAUAUAUAUAUAUAUAUAUAAAUCUCAUUGAGUUUUAUAUUUUGAGAACAAUAAACUCUUGUUUUAGGAGCAACAACAGUGGCUGGUUUAAUUUUAUCCUAUCUUUUUGUUCCCUUUAGCUGAGAGAGAGGGAGGGAGGGAGAGAGAGGGAGAGGGAGAGAGAGAGACAGAGAGAGAGAGAAUACAAGUGGUGUGAUGAGUAGAAUAAUAGAAUCACAGAAUUUCAAAAUUAGAGGGGACCUUGAAGACCAUCUAAUCCUUUUUAACCAGAUGCAGAGAUCUUCUCUAUAAUACCUUUACACAGCAAUAAUUCAUGUAUGAUAAAUUGAGAAACUCACUGUUAAUAUAACUUCCUUGAACUGGGCUAUCAGCCUUUUUUACUUCCUUAUGCUGGUUAGCAACCUGCUAAUUGCUAUGACUAUUUCAAGCCUAGAUAAAUUUUUGGUUAGCUGGCAUAAAAGAUGGGUCAAAUAUUUUGACUGCAAUAGAUAACAACCAAAAUGAGAGUUAAAUAAAGUACACCAGAGAUUCCAGAGUUGGAACCCUGUUAUCUGAAAAGAAAUACCUUCCAUAAUCAGAAGCAUUAAGUCAGCCAUUAUAUUGUCUCCAGCUUUUCAGUCCACACUUACAUAGCACCCCUCAUUCAUAUUCUUAUUUAUGCACGUAAGCUACCUUUGUUCUUUUCUAUAUGUCUGGAUUUGAAAGUUAGGUGAUUGUGACCAAAAUGAGGUUCACAAAUAAAGCUUACAUUCUGUGUCAUACUUGGUGAAAAACUUCUUAGACAACUAAAAUCUAGUCCAAGGCCUGGUGCUGUCUGGGCAUUCAUGCAGAUGCAAUGUUGUUUAAGAUUCUCACUGAAAUAGCAUAAUGUCACAUGUAGUUCACUAAGGACAAGAUGCAUUCAGGUUAUUAUAUUUACACACACCAUGCACUGAAAUCAUUUUGAUAACUUUAUUCUAGUCACAUUCAAACACUGACUUAGAUUAUUGAUCUACUCAGGAAAAUGAGCAACUUUUGAAUUUGGAUAGACACAAGCUAAAACUGUAUUACCAAUGUAAACAUCUAAAAUGAACCAAAUGAAGUUGAGACUUUCCAGUGAAAAAAAUAUUUUCUUUACUUAUAUGAACUAUAGAAACAUCUACUUGCUGAGUCUUUGAAAAUAGCACUGGUUCAGGAAAUCAAAAUUCUAAUCCUGUCUCUUUUUAACUAGCUGUUUGACCUUGGAGAGACCUCUAAAUUGCUUCCGAAUCUUUGUUUACCAGUUUUAAAUGGAAGAUGAUAAUCCCUAUAUUAUAGUUCUCAUGGGGUUGUGAGGAUAAAAUAUGUGAAAUUCAAAAAUGUUAAUGAGCUCUGCAAGUAAUAUACAAACACCAUCUGCAACCAAAACCUAUAUUCUUCAAAGAUUAGAAUAUUUUAUAAUCUUUGAAAAAAUUAGAGGAUUAGCAUAAUUGUUUUAUGAAUAGGGAGUGCCUUUUCACAUACAUGACCUAUUAAUCAGCUUGAAAGGUUGUUCUGCAUCAUCAGCAAAGUGCCCAAUUAUUAGUAGUUAAAAGGUUCAGAAGAUGAUGGGAAUCGCUAUUUAUUUUAUAGUCUACUAACCUCCCUCAGGUGACAAUAUGCUCACACAUCGUAAUCAGAAUGACUUCCUGGCAGAUUUUUUUUUUUCUUCUUAACCAAAUAUUUGUAUGCUCACACCCCUAUUGUCAUCGUCACUGUUGGCUGGUUGUGCUGAUAUAAUGGAUGGACUGUUUGCGUUUCUACUGAAGUCACCUAUUUUUAGGUUUACUGUCUUACCAAGAAACUCCUUUACGAAAUCUGACAAACAAGAUCUUGAUCUGAGUGGCUGGCAUCAUGUAUUUUAAUAUUUUAUUUUUACUUUUUCUAGAAAAGGAGCUAUUCUGUUGAUACAAAACAGAAGAAUACAAAUACAAGUCCACUCCCAGAUAAUUUUUAUGCAUUUUUGCUUAAUUUAAAAAUAUAAGCCCAUUAUUAAAAAUACAAACAGUAUCUGCUUUCUGACAAGUAGAUUGAUUGCAGCGUAAAAGUAGCACCUCAGAUUACUUUUAAUAACAUGAUGUAUAUUAUCUUCAUUCUGCGCUGUAGAAAGCUGAAGUUCAGAGUAGUGAAGUAAUUUCUCAUGCCCAUGUAGUUAGCCAAUGAGAAGACCAGAAUUGCAAUCCAUGUUUGCCUGGUUCUAGAGCUCAUACUCUUUCUAACGCGACAGCUGGUUUUUGGGAAAACAAAGCUGAUCCAUGAGGGUACAAGGUGAAUGGCUAAGGAAGUAAUUUUGCUAUGGAAAAGAAAGUUGGAGGAAGAGUAGAACCUAGAAGAGUAGAACAGAGAAGUGAAGAUGUCUCGGGCAGCGGGUGAGCAUACAUACAGCCAUAGAAGAAUUCUUGGUUUUAGGGAAUAGUAUGUAGACUGUUUUGACUAAAGGAAAGGAUUGUGAAGAGGAGUCAAAAUCAAGAUAGUAGUAGGAUGUGGAUAAGGGGAUACAGCAACUCUUAGACUCUACUAUAAGAAUUUUGCAUCUUAUCCAGUAGCCAAUGGUGGGAUGGAGGGUGGGAAAACUGUUGCAAGUUUUGAAUCUAUGGGAAGCAGUGCUUGGAGACAAUUAACUUUAUGACAAUUUUAGUGGAUUUUCCUCUUGUGACACAUAUGCAGUUUUUAAAAAUUUAUAGUCCAUGAAGAUAUGUUUUAGUUUUAUUUUGCAUGUUUAUUUUGCUUUUUAAUAAAAGCAAGUAACUCUGUUAAUUGCCUCAUACACCUGCAUCAUUGCUAAAGUCAGACAAUAUGAUAAAUCAUGUGGCAGAAAUUAUGGCAAACAGCACCAUAAUCUCCACACUGUCCAAGUCCAAAGAUAUGGAUUAAACUGCUUAGAGGAAAAGGAUGCAUCAGCAUAGUGUUUACGUACUAUGCAAAAAUAUAGAGCUAUCUUUUUUUAAUGAAAAAGAUACUAUCAUUUAUUUUCCCUGACAAUGGAAGAACAAAUGG
rnacentral:lncRNA from 1 species